UUUGAAUAUGCAGAAAAAGUGGGUAUGUCCUGUAAUCUAUGCUAGCUUUUCUCGUUUACAGGGUACUCACAAAAUAUGUCUCCCUUAGUGUCCCACAGAAACAUUCUGGGUGAAAUCUGAAUUAAGGUAUGUGUUUUCAAAUAAGUAAUCAGUUUAGAUAUUUGCCUGUGUACCUUUUCCUGUAAUUCAGAGCUUGUGUUCUGUGGGUUUUAUGAUAAACCUGUAAAACAUGUAAGAAUGGUUUUGCAAGUCUGAAUCGUUGAAGGCAGCAAUAAGUGGAUUUAAAGCCUGUUCUUGAGCAGACAAAGGGGAAAAGUGUGACUCUGAUGCUGAACUUGUCAUUUUUCAUUUGACUUGCCUUGAAUUAUUGAAGAAGAGAGAGAACUAGGAAAAGAAAUAGAAUUGAUUAUUGAGCACUCCUAAAAAGCUCACCAUGAUUCUGUGUAGAGCCAAAGUGAAGGAUGAUGGAACAGAGCUCUGUGCAUUAGAAGGAAAUAAACCUGAUGUCCACACAGAGUCUUACUAAUUUCUGUUUUUAAAAUGCAAAAUAAGUUUAGGAAGUGUUGGAAGUUAGUAUUUUGGGAAAGAAAUGGCAGUUCCACAAAACAUUCCAUUCCAUUUAAGAGAGGCCCUUGGACUGAUUCAUGUUGUAACUGCUGUCACUGCAAUCAGUUGGUGGUUCAGCCUUGAAACGUGCACUUGGCCUUCUAUAAAGCACUGUUUUGUUUGCCUUUCAGUGCUAUGAGUCUUGAUAAAUUGGAGAAGUGCCCAAGAGAAAUUCAUCAUCCUGAGAUACAAAAGGUAGGAAGUGACUUUUUUUGGUUUGGUUCUUUUUCUUUAUUGUUUUCUGGAAAUAGAAGUAAUUAAGUAUAGAUACUACUGGUUUGUUUCUUCCAGUAGCUGAUAAUACUAAUACCAAUAAUAAUAAUAAUAAGAGUAAAGUAAUACUACUUAAAUUGUCUUUAUUUAUCCAUUGAACUGGCCAUUUUAAAUCUAAACUUCUAAACACAAAUCAAACCAUCAUCCUUGUAGAAUCUUUAAUAGGAGUGGGCUAAAGAUCCUGGUUUUGUUGACAGGAUUUAUUGGUUCAUGAAGAGCAAGAGGUAAGUACAAGCCUAACUACCCUCUAGCUCACAGACCUGCCCGGUGAAUAGAGCUUUGUUUUUUUGAUGGGCUUGUGAUGACUUUGAGAUCAAUUGCUCAUUCAUUACAGUAAAAAAAAAAAAAUUGUUUUGAACAUGACAGCAAAAAUAACUUUAAGCACAACUUAAUAAUAAUAGAUCACCAAUUUUAGUUAAUAAUUUUAUGCUAUACUCUUGGGUGAGGGAAGACUCGGACACUCAAUAUGAGAUCAGCAAGCUAUGUUUAUUGCAGAGAGUAUCAGACACUUAUACAGCACAUAAUAAGCUUAUGAAUAUUCUGUAAGCCAAGCGAUCUAUUUGUUAAACUAUACCAUCAACUCUUCCUCAUUCCUUUGGGCCUACAUUCCCUAUUUCCCACGUCUCUCUGUCUACUUGUUAUCCUACCCAGCUAGGCCCAGGCACACGCUAUCUUGCAGGUGCAAAACUCAAAAAUACCUGUGUUCGGUACUUUCCCAGCUCCUGGUCGGCUAACGAGCGAAUGUCUGCGUGACCUCUGUCAUGGAGCCAUUUCUCCACACUAUACUAUCAAAGUUUAAAGGUAAAUUAUUAUAUAUUAGGAGAUGGUGUAAAGUGUAUGUUGUAAUGUGUAGGAUAUAUACAAAGAUACGUACUUGAAAGUCCGUAGAGGAAACAAAUUUUUACACCUUCUGUUUGACUGUUUGUCAUAUAUUUGGUUUUAUUUCCCAGGGAUCAGUGAAUUUUAACUCUGGAGUCCUCUAUGCUAAGGAUGCUCAGCUUACAGAUGAUGAAAUGUUCAGUAAUGUAUUUGCUGGAGCUGUGCUUACCCAAGGUUUGGGUAAAACAAGCUUUGGGUUCCCUCUGUCUCACUGGGAGUUGCCCAAUUCAGUUGCAUCUGGUGAAAUUCACCCUGAGACCUUACAGAACCAGCUCCAACUACGUGAGAGCCAUUUGCAGUUCUCUCCAGACGCCUGGAGAAUGGGUGACGUUUCUGAGGAUCCGGCGAGCGUGCUUCUGUCAAAACUCAGUCUGUGAAAUUUCUGGGGAAAACCCUUCUGUGUCCUGAAGGGUUCAAACUCUGGUGAGGAUCCAGUUAUCAGGUGCUCACCUGGAUGGUUCCAGCUCCCAAAGGUAACACUUGUACUCUUGCCCUGUAGUUUACAUCUAUUGUAUUUUUGUUAUUUUGCAGGAUUUUUUGUCUUUGCAAAAUAUUGUGCAUUUCACUCUUUGGAACCUCUCAGAUGGUUCUUUGGUGCAGCACCACCCCAUGGGACACUUGGCUGCUGUCCUGAAGGGGUUGGUGGCUAGAAUUGUGAAUCCUGGAGAGUUUAUAAGUCUUCUGUCCCCAGGGAGGUAUCAUGCUUUGUUUACUUUUGUUCUGUUGGUUAGGUGCUGCUUCUCGUUGCAAGUACGAAUUUCAAACUGCCCUGUUCUUAUUUUAACUGUUUUCCUGGUUCUCUCCGUCCGGCAGGGAAAGACUCUCGUAUCCUUGUCGUCGGGCUCGGUGCUGUCCAAGAAGAUACAGAGACUAAAAAAAUCAUAAGAAGCAAAAUAUGACUGCAGGGAAAAGAAGCUGGAGAGAACAGAAGACUCAUCACGGCGGGACAGCGUGAGGACUGAAAGUGUAAGAAGAUGUGGAGGGAAACAGAGAAUCUGACAGGAGCAGCGAACGCACGAGUGCACGAAUUUUGCUUUUUGCUUGGAUGUAAACUCAGGAGUUGAAAGGAAUUUGGGAGUGAGAAGGGACAUUUCAGAAGGAGAAGAAGAAAAAGAAGUUGUUGUUGUUGCUACAGUCCUG